GGGGAGGAGACGCCGGCACGGUAGUGUGGACCGGAGUAAAGCCCCUGGCUCGAGACCUGGGCUAUUAUCAUCCAUUCUCUGCUGCCGGGCCAGGCCUAGUGAGAGGUUCUGGCGCAUAGGAAUUUUAGGAAGUAGCAGAGCGGGCUGUGGGUCUCUGCCGAGGUGUUUAGUUUGAGCCCUGGCUCCGGCCUUACUCGCCGCAAGGACGCCUUCAGUCUUUGCUGAAAUUGGUAGGGUUGGGCCUUAUUUUUAUUUUUAUUUUUAUUUUUAUUUUAUUUAAGGGUCCACUGUAUCUAGGCAUUUGUUGUCCUGCGCGGGGAAUGUGUGCAGAGCACCGUGGGGUAGAGGCUGUGGGGAGGAGGGCUUGGAGAUGCUAGCGGUGUGGUCCUUAGCCGCGUGAAGUGUUAGAGAGCUCAGCUGCUGAGUGAACCCACACCACCAGCUGUCAGAGGAUUAUCAGUCUUUUGGCCCUUGUAAGUGUGUGGAGGCCCCAGAGUUGUCACUUAUUGAGAUUCAGGAUCACGGUGAAGGUAUGGGCAGGGCGCUCUUUCAUGUCAGCAAUAGUAAACAACUAGAAGAUGUCAUUUGGAAUAAAUGCAGUCAGCUUUCUUUUCCAGGUUCAGAAUUGCCCAGGCUUUUCCGUGCUUCCUUUAUCUUGCUCAUAGCCUCCCUCCCUCCUAUCAGUAAAUCUAAGGGUAGGAGCCUGGAGAACCUGAACUCAAGCCUUUUAUUUAACUGGUGGUAAAAUGUAAAUCUGCUAGUCGGCCUCAGUUCUUUCCAGCUCUGCUGUUGAUUUCCUAAGGACCUGUGGCAAAUCAUAGCCUCUCUGGGUCCCAUGUAAAAAUGUCAUGACUUUUCUUAAAUCUUUGUUGGCAGCAGAAUUCCAAGUUGAAUUGUAUACUAAGUGACCUGGACUUCAUAGAGGAAUUUAGUAGAAAAACUUGUCUAAGUCCUCUGCAUUAGAACUAAGCUAAAAUUCCCUUUACAGACAUUCCUGAGAUUUUAUCAUGCAUGGCUCAUAACAAAGUUUUUGAACAGUAACUGCUCUCUCUCUCUCUUUUUUUUUUUUUUUUUAAAAGAUGUGUUUGUUUGUUUGAGAGGCAGAGGCAGAGAUCUUCCAUCCUCUGGCUCACUCCCUAAAUGGCCACAAUGGCCAGAGCUGGGCCGAUCUGAAGCCACGAGCUUCUUCCAGGUCUCUCAUGUGGGUGCAAGAGCCCAAGCAUUUGGGCCAUCUUCUGCUUUCCCAGGCCGUAGCAGAGAGCUGCAUCGGAAGUGCAGGUGGUGGCCCCAGUAGCUGCUUCUUAAUCUUUUGUGCUUCAAAAACAAAAUACUUAAACUGGUUCAUGUUUGCAUUUUUAUUUAGUGGGGUUGCUUAAAGCAAAGCAUAGAAGAUAAUAGAUUUAUUGAAAACCUGUGGGGGCUGAUGUUGUGGUGGAGCAGGUAAAGUCACUGCCUGCAGCACCAGCAUCCCAUAUGGGUGCCGGUUGGAGUCCGGGCUGCUCUACUUCUGUCCAGCUCUCUGCCAUGGCCUGGGAAAGUAGUACAACAUGGCCCAGGUGCUUGGACCCCUGCAUUCACAUCGGAGACCUGGAAGAAAUUCCUGGCUUCGGAUUGGCCCAGCCCUGGCUUUUGCAACCAUUUGGGGAGUGAACCAGUGGUGGGAGACUCUCUCUCUGCCUCUCUAACUCUUUCGAAUAAACAAAUUAAAAAAAAAAAAAAAAAAGGAGAGGCCCCCCCCCUUCCCCCUUUUUCUGUAAGCAAGCCUGAAUUUUUCUUUUUCUUUUUUUUUUUUUUUUUUGACAGGCAGAGUGGACAGUGAGAGAGAGAGACAGAGAGAAAGGUCUUCCUUUGCCGUUGGUUCACCCUCCAAUGGCCGCCGCCCCUGGCGCACUGCGGCCGGCGCACCGCGCUGAUCCGAUGGCAGGAGCCAGGUGCUUCCCCUGGUCUCCCAUGGGGUGCAGGGCCCAAGCACUUGGGCCAUCCUCCACUGCACUUCCGGGCCACAGUAGAGAGCUGGCCUGGAAGAGGGGCAACUGGGACAGAAUCCGGUGCCCUGACCGGGACUAGAACCCGGUGUGCCGGCGCCGCUAGGUGGAGGAUUAACCUACUAAGCCGCGGCGCCGGCCCCUGAAUUUUUCUUAGAUGUGAAAAUAGUGAGUUGGACUGUUGCUUGGUAACAAAGAACCGAACGCAAUGAUGAGUGAAGUAUAGUCUGACCUGGUAUUGCCACUGUUUCAAAGUUGGCUUUGACCAGGGUAUGAUCCCUUAAUCUUCUCUCUGAGCUGAUUCUGGUUGUGGUAUUUCCACACAGAUGUAUUCUAACCUAUUUGGAUACUGGUUUUAUUACAUGGUAAAAGUGUUUCUGUGACACUCCUUUGAAUUACUGAUACUUUCAUGUUUUCUUCCUUCCUUAGGCUGUGGUGAGAAGUCUGGCUCUAAAAUCUUCGUGGAGAACUACAUCAUUUCAAUCCUGAAUCUGGUUCAGUUUCUCUAUUGACUUACUGUUGUAUUAAAAAUGUAUUGCUAAAUUAA